GCAGUCGUAGCCGAGUGGUGAAGGCGAUGGACUAGAAAUCCAUUUUGGGGUCUCCCCGCACAGGUUCGAAUCCUGUCGACUGCG
rnacentral:tRNA from 1 species